rnacentral:rRNA from 1 species
UUUGGUUCGAGAGAGUGGAAAACUGGUGAGUAACACGUGGGAAACCUGCCCAGAAGCGGGGGAUAACACCUGGAAACAGAUGCUAAUACCGCAUAACAACUUGGACCGCAUGGUCCGAGCUUGAAAGAUGGCUUCGGCUAUCACUUUUGGAUGGUCCCGCGGCGUAUUAGCUAGAUGGUGGGGUAACGGCUCACCAUGGCAAUGAUACGUAGCCGACCUGAGAGGGUAAUCGGCCACAUUGGGACUGAGACACGGCCCAAACUCCUACGGGAGGCAGCAGUAGGGAAUCUUCCACAAUGGACGAAAGUCUGAUGGAGCAACGCCGCGUGAGUGAAGAAGGGUUUCGGCUCGUAAAACUCUGUUGUUAAAGAAGAACAUAUCUGAGAGUAACUGUUCAGGUAUUGACGGUAUUUAACCAGAAAGCCACGGCUAACUACGUGCCAGCAGCCGCGGUAAUACGUAGGUGGCAAGCGUUGUCCGGAUUUAUUGGGCGUAAAGCGAGCGCAGGCGGUUUUUUAAGUCUGAUGUGAAAGCCUUCGGCUCAACCGAAGAAGUGCAUCGGAAACUGGGAAACUUGAGUGCAGAAGAGGACAGUGGAACUCCAUGUGUAGCGGUGAAAUGCGUAGAUAUAUGGAAGAACACCAGUGGCGAAGGCGGCUGUCUGGUCUGUAACUGACGCUGAGGCUCGAAAGUAUGGGUAGCAAACAGGAUUAGAUACCCUGGUAGUCCAUACCGUAAACGAUGAAUGCUAAGUGUUGGAGGGUUUCCGCCCUUCAGUGCUGCAGCUAACGCAUUAAGCAUUCCGCCUGGGGAGUACGGCCGCAAGGCUGAAACUCAAAGGAAUUGACGGGGGCCCGCACAAGCGGUGGAGCAUGUGGUUUAAUUCGAAGCUACGCGAAGAACCUUACCAGGUCUUGACAUACUAUGCAAAUCUAAGAGAUUAGACGUUCCCUUCGGGGACAUGGAUACAGGUGGUGCAUGGUUGUCGUCAGCUCGUGUCGUGAGAUGUUGGGUUAAGUCCCGCAACGAGCGCAACCCUUAUUAUCAGUUGCCAGCAUUAAGUUGGGCACUCUGGUGAGACUGCCGGUGACAAACCGGAGGAAGGUGGGGAUGACGUCAAAUCAUCAUGCCCCUUAUGACCUGGGCUACACACGUGCUACAAUGGAUGGUACAACGAGUUGCGAACUCGCGAGAGUAAGCUAAUCUCUUAAAGCCAUUCUCAGUUCGGAUUGUAGGCUGCAACUCGCCUACAUGAAGUCGGAAUCGAUAGUAAUCGCGGAUCAGCAUGAAGCGGUGAAUACGUUCCCGGAAGGGGUUCACAGGGCCCCAGAAAGUGGUAACAAGGUACCCGUAG